rnacentral:rRNA from 1 species
UAUUAUUUUAAUUGUUAAAUAAGAACUUGAGUAGUAAUAGUUAAGUUCUUAAAACUCAAAGAAUUUGGCGGUGUUUCAGUCUUUUCAGAGGAAUCUGUUUCGUGAUCGAUAGUACACGUUAAAUAUUACUUGAUUUUGUAAUCAACAAUUUGUAUACCGCCGUCAUAAGAGUAUCUUUUUAGGGAAAUAAUAUUCUGGAUAUUUGAAAGAAUAAUAUGUCAGGUCAAGGUGCAGUUUAUAAUUAAGGGAAAAUGGAUUACAAUAAAGAUAUUUAUAUGGAUUUUGUAAUGUAAUUUGCAUUUGAAGGUGGAUUUGAAGGUAAUAUUAUUAAAUUAUGAUAAUAUGAUUUAAGCGCUGAAGCGUGCACACAUCGCCC